UACAGAGGUCUCAAGCGUUGUUCGGAUUCAUUGGGCGUAAAGGGCGUGUAGGUGGCGCGGUAAGUCGGGUGUGAAAUCUCGGAGCUUAACUCCGAAACUGCAUUCGAUACUGCCGUGCUUGAGGACUGGAGAGGAGACUGGAAUUUACGGUGUAGCGGUGAAAUGCGUAGAUAUCUGGAGGAACACCGGUGGCGAAGGCGGCAUCCUGGGACCGAGAUUGACGCUGAUGCGCGAAAGCCAGGGGAGCAAACGGG
rnacentral:rRNA from 1 species